rnacentral:rRNA from 1 species
UGACACAUGCAAGUCGAACGAGCGAGAGAGAGCUUGCUUUCUCAAGCGAGUGGCGAACGGGUGAGUAACGCGUGAGGAACCCGCCUCAAAGAGGGGGACAACAGUUGGAAACGACUGCUAAUACCGCAUAAGCCCACGGGUCGGCAUCGACCAGAGGGAGAAGGAGCAAUCCGCUUUGAGAUGGCCUCGCGUCCGAUUAGCUAGUUGGUGAGGUAAUGGCCCACCAAGGCAACGAUCGGUAGCCGGACUGAGAGGUUGAACGGCCACAUUGGGACUGAGACACGGCCCAGACUCCUACGGGAGGCAGCAGUGGGGAAUAUUGCACAAUGGGGGAAACCCUGAUGCAGCGACGCCGCGUGGAGGAAGAAGGUCUUCGGAUUGUAAACUCCUGUUGUUGAGGAAGAUAACGACGGUACUCAACAAGGAAGUGACGGCUAACUACGUGCCAGCAGCCGCGGUAAAACGUAGGUCACAAGCGUUGUCCGGAAUUACUGGGUGUAAAGGGAGCGCAGGCGGGAAGACAAGUUGGAAGUGAAAUCUAUGGGCUCAACCCAUAAACUGCUUUCAAAACUGUUUUUCUUGAGUAGUGCAGAGGUAGGCGGAAUUCCCGGUGUAGCGGUGGAAUGCGUAGAUAUCGGGAGGAACACCAGUGGCGAANGCGGCCUACUGGGCACCAACUGACGCUGANGCUCGAAAGUGUGGGUAGCAAACAGGAUUAGAUACCCUGGUAGUCCACACCGUAAACGAUGA